rfam:Gallus gallus isolate RJF #256 breed Red Jungle fowl, inbred line TCD001 chromosome 1, whole genome shotgun sequence.
CCAACGGCUCUUUUAAGAGCCACCCAAAGUUUCCCAAAAAGAGCUG